UGAGAGACUGAUGCAAACUCUGGAGAGAAACUGAGAUGCUUGAUCUUGAAUCUCAGACACCAGGUUGUGAAGAAGUGCAGGACACAUAGAGAGGCUCACAUAAGAAGAAGCAAGACCUUCAUCACUCAGUCCAAGCUAGGUUCACAGCCACAUCUUGCAAAAACUCGCUCCUAAAGGUACUGUUUACCACAAUGAACACACUUGUAUCAUGUCAACAACUUCCAUCUCUACAUUGCCCUGCGUAAGAAUAUACUGGGAGCUGAUAUAACCUCAAUGAUGGUAAAACAGGAUGUAGAAUCCAGAAAAUAUUCCUGAAAUGGACCAAACAUCAAUAUUCUGAAACAGAAGUGGAAAUGAAACUGAAACAGAAAAAGUAAAUUGGGUAAUAAAUAUACUAAAGAACAAUUUUUCUAAUAGUUGGCAGAAGGUGGUAAGGUAAGUUCAAAAAGUUCAUCUGUGAGUAAAGGCACAUUAUUGUGAGGUGGCUUUCUUAACAGAUUCAGGAAUCUUUAUUCAGAAUCUUCAUACACUGUGUUUGUGCAUGCUAUGAAAUCCUAGUGGUAGAAAUAUAUUUUAGGGUUGGGAUCUAAGUUAAACAGUGGUAGAAUGGAUUUGACAUAUUCACGUGAUUGGCUUUGUCAGAAAUGUGUCUGAAAACUUGCCAGACCAAUUGCCUCAGUGUCAUUUGCAAUAAUCCAGAUGACAGAGUAUGUCAGUGAAAUAUUUCCCCAGAAUGUGGGAGCA
rnacentral:lncRNA from 1 species